CGUAAAUUUAAUACACACGGGUAAUUUGUAUGCAAGAUUUAGUUAACAUUUGACUCAAACAGGAUAGUAGUCUAUAAAAAAAAAGCUAAAACGCAUGUUAAGAGAAACGCAAAUUCGGUCUCGCGAUUUGACAGAAGCCGAAACUUGCCGGAUAUACAGUGAGCGAUUUUAGAAGAAAACGCACACUGAGGAAAAAGAAUAUGGCGAAAGGACGGAUCGAGAAGACAAUUUUGAAAGCUCGCGACUCCAAAUCACCCCGUAAUUCAUUCCGGUAACUACUUCACAAAGCUCCGCCGCCGCUAUGAGUUUCUGAUCGGACGAAUAAAUUUUCUUAUUUACCGCGACCUCCAAGACUGUGGUUACAUCAAUGACUGUUGAU